UUUAGAUAACCCUAACCAACGUUUGGGCCUCAUUUAAACUAGGGUUUCCAUAAUAUCCAUUUUACCCCUUUAACCCCCAUUCUUCUUUCUUCAAACUUGUCGAAUUUUCUUCUUUCUUUCUCCUCUUCAAUCCGUGUUCCCCCUUCCUUGAACCGUUCUACAAACCAUCUUCAACCUAUCCUCAACCCUUCCCUUUUUCUUCCUCAACUCCUUUAUACACGCUACACAAUUUUUUUUUAGCCAAUCCGUAUGUUUGUGAGAGCUUCGCCAUUCGUUUUCUCGUCGAAUUUUUUUCCCUUGGAUCUAAAACCUUAUGUUCUCUUCACAAUACAUCUCUAAAUCGGUUCUACAUUCUCUCUCACUCUUCGAAACUGUAAUUCAUUUUGUUAAAUACUUCACUCCAACGGCGUUGCCUCUGAGACUUUUUGGUUUCCUUGAACGGCUGGGACGAUUCCUUGCCUCUGAAACCUUGCCUUGCAUGUUCGAUGAGUCUUCUCGGUGAACAUGCAAGUCCUUCAUUGUUGCCCCCUGAAAUUCCCCUUUCCGCUCGACUUCUCUUUUGUCGAGGUAUUUUCCUUGUCGAUCGGUGUUUUCCUUCACUAAGUUAGGACAUGUGCUACACAUUUCUUGUUGUGGCAAUAGGUGAUUUUCGAACAUGGUAGGGAGGGCAUCGACCUUCAUAAUACCCUUGUAAGAGGUACUAUGGAUUAGCCGUUUGUAGUAUAUUUUUUAUUUUCUUGUCGUUUCAUUUUGUUUACUGUUAAGACAAUGUAAUUUCAAUUGAAUUGUUCCCAACAAACUAUCGAUUUUGUAAUUUGACUUCUUUUGGUCUUGUAUUUAGCUGUUGCACUAUAAAACGAACAUUUCUAGUA